GGGCACUUAGUCAAAUAAACAAAGUUCAAAGUCGAAGCACUCUUUGAGAGUGGAGCUAUGCAGAUUGACAUCUCCUUGCCAGAUGCCUACCUGUUCGCUCUCUAAAUUUGCCAUGGGCCUCGCGGGCAUGCCGGGAAUUUAUUCAAACACGAGAUUGGUGGGGUGCGGGCGUGCCACUACUAGAUGCCGCUAAUAGACGGAUUUUGAAUGAUUGAGGUUGCACCUGAGUUCGACUUCUGACCAAGAGAUUGUGCCAUUGAGUGUGAGUGACUCAAAUCAAGGUUCUUUGUUUGCCUUAAAAAUAAGGACUUUACUUAUAUGGAGAGGUAGAACAAUAUGUAAAUGACAAAGGAAGGUGAAUGACUAAUAUUGUAGAUUGCUUGUAAAUUAAAUGACUGAAGAUGAGUUGUACAUGAAAACUACAAAGGAGAUCGAUACUGCAAGUGAGCAGUAGAGCUAAUAAACUAGAUAAAAGAAGGCUUUUGAUGAAGGUUGAUCCUAAAAAGGAUGAAGGCUUGGUGCUGACUACAGCUUUGUAUGCAAAUCUGGCUUGAGUAGAGUUUGUGUAUUUGUUUGUUUGAUUGAGUGU
rnacentral:sRNA from 1 species